rnacentral:tRNA from 1 species
UCCAGGGUAGCCUAAUGGACAUGGCACCUGCCCGGUAAGCAGAAGGUUGUGGGUUCGAUUCCCGCCCCUGGAC